GACAGAGGGUGCAAACGUUGCUCGGAAUUACUGGGCGUAAAGGGCGCGUAGGUGGCCUUCUAAGUUGAACGUGAAAUCCCUGGGCUCAACCCAGGAACUGCGUCCAAGACUGGGAGGCUUGAAUCCGGGAGAGGGAUGCGGAAUUCCAGGUGUAGCGGUGAAAUGCGUAGAUAUCUGGAGGAACACCGGUGGCGAAGGCGGCAUCCUGGACCGGUAUUGACACUGAGGCGCGAAAGCCAGGGGAGCAAACGGG
rnacentral:rRNA from 1 species